GAUGAACGCUGGCGGCGUGCCUAAUACAUGCAAGUCGAGCGAACGGACGAGAAGCUUGCUUCUCUGAUGUUAGCGGCGGACGGGUGAGUAACACGUGGAUAACCUACCUAUAAGACUGGGAUAACUUCGGGAAACCGGAGCUAAUACCGGAUAAUAUUUUGAACCGCAUGGUUCAAAAGUGAAAGACGGUCUUGCUGUCACUUAUAGAUGGAUCCGCGCUGCAUUAGCUAGUUGGUAAGGUAACGGCUUACCAAGGCAACGAUGCAUAGCCGACCUGAGAGGGUGAUCGGCCACACGGGAACUGAGACACGGUCCAGACUCCUACGGGAGGCAGCAGUAGGGAAUCUUCCGCAAUGGGCGAAAGCCUGACGGAGCAACGCCGCGUGAGUGAUGAAGGUCUUCGGAUCGUAAAACUCUGUUAUUAGGGAAGAACAUACGUGUAAGUAACUGUGCACAUCUUGACGGUACCUAAUCAGAAAGCCACGGCUAACUACGUG
rnacentral:rRNA from 1 species